rnacentral:rRNA from 1 species
AGCGAACGCUGGCGGCAGGCCUAAUACAUGCAAGUCGAACGAUCCUUCGGGAUAGUGGCGGACGGGUGAGUAACACGUGGGAACGUGCCCUUUGGUUCGGAAUAACUCAGGGAAACUUGAGCUAAUACCGGAUGUGCCCUUCGGGGGAAAGAUUUAUCGCCAUUGGAGCGGCCCGCGUCUGAUUAGCUAGUUGGUAGGGUAAAGGCCUACCAAGGCUACGAUCAGUAGCUGGUCUGAGAGGAUGAUCAGCCACACUGGGACUGAGACACGGCCCAGACUCCUACGGGAGGCAGCAGUAGGGAAUCUUGCGCAAUGGGCGAAAGCCUGACGCAGCCAUGCCGCGUGAAUGAUGAAGGUCUUAGGAUUGUAAAAUUCUUUCAGCGGGGACGAUAAUGACGGUACCCGCAGAAGAAGCCCCGGCUAACUUCGUGCCAGCAGCCGCAGUAA